rnacentral:rRNA from 1 species
GACGAACGCUGGCGGCGCGCCUAACACAUGCAAGUCGGACGGAGCUUAGAUUUUGAAGUUUUCGGAUGGACGAAUGUAAGCUUAGUGGCGGACGGGUGAGUAACACGUGAGCAACCUGCCUUUCAGAGGGGGAUAACAGCCGGAAACGGCUGCUAAUACCGCAUAAUAUUGCGGGGGCACAUGCCCCUGCAACCAAAGGAGCAAUCCGCUGAAAGAUGGGCUCGCGUCCGAUUAGCCAGUUGGCGGGGUAACGGCCCACCAAAGCGACGAUCGGUAGCCGGACUGAGAGGUUGAACGGCCACAUUGGGACUGAGACACGGGCCCAGACUCCUACGGGAGGCAGCAGUGGGGGAUAUUGCACAAUGGCGAAAAGCCUGAUGCAGCGACGCCGCGUGAGGGAGACGGUCUUCGGAUUGUAAACCUCUGUCUUUGGGGAGAAAGUGACGGGUACCCCAAAGAGGAAGCUCCGGCUAACUACGUGCCAAGCCGCCGCCGUAAG